AUUGAACGCUGGCGGCGUGCUUAACACAUGCAAGUCGAUCGGUAACAGGUGUAGCAAUACAUGCUGACGAGAGGCGGACGGGUGAGGAAUAUUUGGGAAUCUGCCCAUCAGCGGGGGACAACCCGGGGAAACUCGGGCUAAUACCGCAUACGCUCUACGGAGGAAAGCCGGGGACCGCAAGGCCUGGCACUGAUGGAUGAGCCCAAAUCGGAUUAGCUAGUUGGCGGGGUAACGGCCCACCAAGGCGACGAUCCGUAGCUGGUCUGAGAGGACGAUCAGCCACACCGGAACUGAGGCACGGUCCGGACUCCUACGGGAGGCAGCAGUGGGGAAUAUUGGACAAUGGGGGAAACCCUGAUCCAGCGACGCCGCGUGGGUGAAGAAGGCCUGCGGGUUGUAAAGCCCUUUCGGUAGGGAAGAAAUCUCUUGUCUUAACACGGCAGGAGUUUGACUUAACCUACAUAAGAAGCACCGGCUAACUCUGUGCCAGCAGCCGCGGU
rnacentral:rRNA from 1 species